UCCUCUAUUUGUCUGAUUAAUAAUAACAACAAUAAUAGAAGUGCUUACUGUGUGCCAGGCCCUGUAGUACUAGUAAGUGCUCUAUGUAUAAUAUUGAAUCAGCACAGCAGUCCAAUGUGACAGCAUACUAGUUACUAUUAUCCCAUUUUAUGGACUAGGAAGUUGAGGCCCACACCACACAGGGUAAGUGAAUCUCACAAAGCACACUCUUGGUCAGAGUCGGAGCUCCGAUUCAAUCCCAGGUCUACCUGACACCAAAGCCUGGGCCCUUCCCACAGAGCAAUGCCUCCUACGUGGCUUGUCACUUGCUCCUCCUUGGAUUGCUUUAUGACUGGAAGUCUUAUCUUUUCAACAAAAGCAAGUGCAAGGACAAUGUUACCUGUUUCUUUUGAACGUGCAUUGCACAGGACUGGGUCCUGGGCAGAUGCUCAAAAAAAUGCUCGCUGAGUGUACAGCAGUAUUAAAAAAUGCCUUGUCACAGCACACAGCCAUGAAUGCGGAAGCACUCGAGACAAGCCAACUCUAGACAACAUUGCUCAGGUAAUGACUUGUGCCUGGAUUCCAUCCCUUGGCAGGAAGUGAGGCCUUGCUUCUUUAAUUGCCCUUGGUUCACGAGUUCAAGAACGGGGCUUGAAGAGAACUGCUCCCCAGCUCUGAGAAGCAGAAUGGUAGCAUAUUCCCCUGCUAGGCCUACACCAGUGCUGCUUUCGUUCACGGUCAACAACGCCCAGCGAGCUUGCUCAAGCACCCCAAAGGCAGGGCUCGCCCGGGAGGCGGGCAGGGGAGACCAGCUGUCCUUGAGAACACAGCCCUUCCAGCUGGCACGAGGGACACUGUUGGACGUCGGGCACUCAGGAACCUGGAGCAGAGUUUAGCUAAGGGGCAGCGCUAGCUGAGGCUUUUCUUUUCACAUUGAAAGAGAAGGAAGCCCCUCCUGAGAGAAUGAAGAGACCAGGAUAUAAGAAACUGACCCGCUUCUUCCCUCCUGCCUGGCCCAGCACCCUCUCUUCCCAUUAAAACUUGGGCACUGCAUCUGCUGAACUGGACCAGGGCCCACAGUCAGGCCUCAAUCUGGUUGUGUUAGUUCCCAAACCAGAUUAGUAACAUCAUCAACCUGAGAAAUGUAUACAAACUAUUGCUUCUCAAGGUAACUCCAAAAGAGGAUCCCAAGUUCAUCACAACUCAGCUAAAACAAAAGACCACGAUGCUUAACAUGGCCAUAGGUCUCAUAUUUACAAACCAUGUAAGAGACGUGUGAACACAUAAUCCAAUGUUAUAGUCUACCCAAUCAAAGUUGUGGACACAUUCAGUGUAUACCUUUAAAGUGUCCUUCAUGCUUCCCCACAGCUCCCCCUACUUCUAUCCUCCCACCCCCUUAAAGCACAGAUAGGCUUGCUGUUCUGAGUUCUAAUAAAUUUCCUGUUGGGACAUUUAUAACAGUUUCCGAUAUCUUCCAUCACCCUCAAAUCCAAGGUCAAAAACAAGGUCAAAGGCAUUUCCUGGCGUCUUUCAGGGAGCUCAUACCAUGUCACAGUGGGAAGCUUUCCUCUUACUGCUCAGAAGUUUGGGCACACGGAAAAUUUAGAACAUGGCGGGCGAAGAAUGAGAGCCUUGCCUGACUCUGGAGAGUUCUGUUCCAGAUAUCCUGGCAGUUACAACUACAGCUAGACCGAGCUGAGGCACCACACCGGGCAGCAGGAGCGCACCUUGUAAUCAGAGCGUGUGCAUACCAGAACAUGUUGUACCUUCUCUCCGUGAUGUUCUCAUCUUCCACUUGAGCCCCAUCUGAAUCCAAUCAUUUGCCUGCCUUCCUCUUUCUCCUUCAGAUCAGGAACUGACCCCAGGGAGAAGAGAACACUGUAUAUAUUUGUAAAACAUCUCUAAAAGUCUCAGAAAUUGCCAUAGGAGUAUAGUUUUAACAUUUUACUCAAUAAUAAUUCUGUUGAAAAUUCCAGGAUAGUGUCUGACUCACUGAGGCUUAUCAUGAAAAAUUGUGCUACAGCACAGAGUCCCUGGACCUCAGUGUCUUAUCCUAUAAAACAUGGGACGUGGGCUUGAA